GUCUUGUUGAUUAUAAUUUCAAGUCUGACCUGCCCAGUGAGGUAUUUAACGGCCGCGGUAUUUUGACCGUGCAAAGGUAGCAUAAUCAUUAGUUUUUUAAUUGGAAGCUUGAAUGAAAGGUUAGAUGAAAAAAAGACUGUCUCUAUAAAAAUUUAUUAGAAUUUUAUUUUUAAGUUAAAAAGCUUAAAUUUAAAUAGAAGACGAGAAGACCCUAUAGAGUUUUAUAUUUUUAAAGCAAGAACAUUUUAGGAAUUAAAAAUUUUGUUGUUUAUAAAAAUAUUUUGUUGGGGUGAUAAAAAAAUUAGAUUAACUUUUUUUAUAUUUGUACAUUUAUUUAUGAGUAAGUGAUCCUAGUGUUUAGAUUAUAAGAUUAAAUUACCUUAGGGAUAACAGCGUAAUUUUUUUGAGAGUUCUUAUCGGAAAAAAAGAUUGCGACCUCGAUGUUGGAUUAAAAUUAAUUGUCGGUGAAGAAGCUGAUAAAUUAGGUCUGUUCGACCUUUAAAAUUUUACAUGAUCUGAGUUUAAACCGGUGUGAG
rnacentral:rRNA from 1 species